rnacentral:rRNA from 1 species
UACGGAGGGGGCUAGCGUUGUUCGGAAUUACUGGGCGUAAAGCGCGUGUAGGCGGCAAGGCAAGUCGGGUGUGAAAGCCCUGGGCUCAACCCAGGAAGUGCAUUCGAUACUGCCAAGCUAGAGUCCCGGAGAGGAUGGUGGAACUCUCGGUGUAGAGGUGAAAUUCGUAGAUAUCGAGAAGAACACCGGUGGCGAAGGCGGCCAUCUGGACGGUGACUGACGCUGAGACGCGAAAGCGUGAGGAGCAAACAGG